rnacentral:misc_RNA from 1 species
GAUGAAGAACGUAGCGAAAUGCGAUAAGUAAUGUGAAUUGCAGAAUUCAGUGAAUCAUCGAAUCUUUGAACGCACAUUGCGCCCGCCAGUAUUCUGGCGGGCAUGCCUGUUCGAGCGUCAUUUCAACCCUCAAGCCCCCGGGCUUGGUGUUGGGGAUCGGCGUGCCCUCGCGGCGCGCCGUCCCCUAAAUCUAGUGGCGGUCUCGCUGUAGCUUCCUCUGCGUAGUAGCAACACUCGCACUGGAUCGCAGCGCGGCCACGCCGUUAAACCCCCCACUUCUGAAAGUUUGACCUCGGAUCAGGUAGGAAUACCCGCUGAACUUAAGCAUAUUCAAUAAGCGGAGGA